CAAUGCCCCUAGUAUGCUUUGUCAACCAAAAGAAACACAAUCAAAAAGUUUGAAAAAGACAUAGCAAUGAGGGAACGGCAACUAAAAAAAGCAGAGAAAAAGCUCCAAGAUGAUGCACUGGCCUUUGAAGAGUUCCUUCGAGAAAAUGACCAGAGAUCUGUAGACGCUCUGAAAAUGUUUGUUUCAUCACUCUGGCCAAAUCCCUCCCACCUCUUUUGUUUGUUUGUUUGUUUGUUUGUUUCUAAGAAGCAAAUUAACAGAUCUUCAUUGCUUUUCAGGGCAGCACAGGAAACAAUAAACAAACUCCAAAUGACAGCAGAGCUGAAGAAAGCAAGCGUGGAGGUACAAGCUGUGAAAAGCAUAUCUGGGAGGAUUUCAAUCUAAAAUGGAGGCAGCAGUAGAAUGAAGGUCUCCCAUCAAUCUUCCAACUGGUGAUACGUGAAGCAGCCAUUUACUGACCCUUGAAUAUC
rnacentral:sRNA from 1 species